rnacentral:rRNA from 1 species
CUUAGAGGGACAGGUGGCGCUUAGCCACACGAGAUUGAGCAAUAACAGGUCUGUGAUGCCCUUAGAUGUUCGGGGCCGCACAUGCGCUACNAUGAAUGGAUCAGCGUGCGUCUCGCCUGGUCCGAAAGGAUCGGGNAACCCGUUGAACCCCAUUCGUACUAGGGAUUGGGGCUUGCAAUUGUUCCCCAUGAACGAGGAAUUCCCAGUAGGGGCGAG